rnacentral:lncRNA from 1 species
AUGGCAAUGUUGCCUCCCCCGGGACCUCAGAGCUUUGUCUUCUUCACAAAACAGUCUCUUGCCCUCAUCGAACAACGUAUUGCUGAAGGAAAAGCAAAGGAACCCAAAGAAGAAAAGAAAGAUGAUGACGAAGAAGGGCCAAAGCCAAGCAGUGACUUGGAAGCCGGCAAACAGCUGCCCUUCAUCUAUGGGGACAUUCCUCCAGGCAUGGUGUCAGAGCCCCUGGAGGACUUGGACCCUUACUAUGCAGACAAAAAAACUUUCAUAGUGUUGAACAAAGGCAAAGCAAUCUUCCGUUUCAAUGCCACACCUGCUUUGUACAUGCUCUCUCCUUUCAGUCCUCUCAGAAGAAUAUCUAUUAAGAUUUUAGUACAUGCCGCAUUCAGCAUGCUUAUCAUGUGCACUAUUUUGACGAACUGCAUAUUUAUGACCAUGAGUAAUCCUCCAGACUGGACCAAGAAUGUAGAGUACACUUUUACUGGAAUAUAUACUUUUGAGUCACUUGUGAAAAUCCUUGCAAGAGGAUUCUGUGUAGGAGAAUUCACUUUUCUUCGUGACCCAUGGAACUGGCUUGAUUUCAUAGUCAUUGUCUUUGCAUAUGUGACAGAGUUUGUGGACCUGGGCAAUGUCUCAGCGUUGAGAACAUUCAGAGUUCUCCGAGCUUUGAAAACAAUUUCAGUCAUUCCAGGCCUGAAGACCAUCGUGGGGGCCCUGAUCCAGUCUGUGAAAAAGCUCUCAGAUGUCAUGAUCCUGACUGUGUUCUGUCUGAGCGUGUUUGCCCUGAUUGGGCUGCAGCUCUUUAUGGGCAACCUGAAGCACAAGUGUGUGCAGACUUCACUUGCGAAUAAUGAAACAAUAGAAGACAUAUUGAAUACCCUCGAUGAAGAAGAAUAUGCAAAAUAUUUUUAUUACUUGGAGGGAUCCAAAGAUGCUCUCCUUUGUGGUUUCAGCACCGAUUCAGGUCAGUGUCCUGAAGGGUACACCUGUAAGAAGAUUGGCAGAAAUCCUGACUAUGGCUACACGAGCUUCGAUACUUUCAGUUGGGCCUUCUUGGCCUUGUUUCGGCUAAUGACCCAGGAUUACUGGGAAAACCUUUACCAACAGACCCUGCGUGCUGCUGGGAAAACCUACAUGAUCUUCUUUGUUGUGGUGAUUUUCCUGGGAUCCUUUUAUCUAAUAAACUUGAUCUUGGCUGUUGUUGCCAUGGCCUAUGAAGAACAGAACCAGGCCAACAUUGAAGAAGCGAGGCAGAAAGAGUUGGAAUUUCAGCAGAUGCUAGAUCGACUUAAAAAAGAGCAAGAGGAAGCUGAGGCAAUAGCAUUAGCAGCAGCUGAAUAUACCAGCAUUGGGAGAAGCAGAAUAAUGGGUCUCUCUGAGAGUUCUUCUGAAACAUCCAAACUGAGCUCUAAAAGUGCUAAAGAAAGAAGAAACAGGAGAAGGAAAAAGAACCAAAAGAAACUCUCCAGUGGGGAAGAAAAGGGAGAUGAUGAGAAACUGUCCAAAUCGGAAUCCGAGGAGAGCAUCAGGAGAAAAAGUUUCCACCUUGGUGUUGAAGGUCAUAGGCGAGCACGUGAAAAAAGAUUGUCUACCCCCAACCAGUCACCACUCAGCAUCCGAGGCUCCCUGUUUUCUGCAAGGCGGAGCAGCAGAACAAGUCUUUUCAGCUUCAAAGGUCGAGGAAGAGAUAUUGGAUCUGAGACUGAAUUUGCCGAUGACGAGCACAGCAUCUUUGGUGACAACGAGAGCAGAAGGGGCUCCCUGUUUGUGCCCCACAGACCUCGGGAGCGGCGCAGCAGUAACAUCAGCCAAGCCAGUAGGUCUCCCCCAGUGCUGCCAGUGAAUGGGAAGAUGCACAGCGCUGUCGACUGCAACGGCGUGGUCUCCUUGGUGGAUGGACCUUCCGCCCUCAUGCUACCCAAUGGACAGCUCCUGCCAGAGGUGAUAAUAGAUAAGGCAACUUCUGAUGACAGCGGUACAACCAAUCAAAUAUACAAGAAAAGACGUCACAGUUCUUACCUCCUUUCUGAGGAUAUGUUGAAUGACCCCAAUCUCAGACAAAGGGCAAUGAGUAGGGCAAGCAUAUUAACAAACACUGUAGAAGAACUUGAGGAGUCCAGACAGAAAUGUCCACCUUGGUGGUACAGAUUUGCACACACAUUCUUGAUCUGGAAUUGCUCUCCGUAUUGGAUAAAAUUCAAAAAAUUUAUCUAUUUUAUUGUAAUGGAUCCUUUUGUAGAUCUUGCUAUUACCAUUUGCAUAGUUUUAAACACAUUGUUCAUGGCUAUGGAACAUCACCCAAUGACUGAGGAAUUCAAAAAUGUGCUCGUUGUGGGAAAUUUGGUCUUUACUGGCAUCUUUGCAGCUGAAAUGGUUUUAAAACUAAUUGCCAUGGAUCCAUAUGAGUAUUUCCAAAUAGGAUGGAAUAUUUUUGAUAGUCUUAUCGUGACCUUAAGCUUAGUGGAACUUUUUCUAUCGGAUGUGGAAGGAUUGUCAGUUCUACGAUCAUUCAGACUGCUCCGAGUUUUCAAGUUGGCAAAAUCUUGGCCAACACUGAACAUGCUGAUCAAGAUCAUUGGCAAUUCAGUGGGGGCUCUGGGAAACCUCACCCUGGUGUUGGCCAUCAUCGUCUUCAUUUUUGCCGUGGUCGGCAUGCAGCUCUUUGGUAAGAGCUACAAAGAAUGUGUCUGCAAGAUCAAUGAAGACUGCAAACUCCCUCGCUGGCACAUGAACGACUUCUUCCACUCCUUCCUGAUUGUGUUCCGGGUGCUGUGUGGAGAGUGGAUAGAGACCAUGUGGGACUGCAUGGAGGUCGCCGGGCAAGCCAUGUGCCUUAUUGUUUACAUGAUGGUCAUGGUCAUUGGAAACCUGGUGGUCCUCAACCUAUUUCUUGCUUUAUUACUGAGCUCAUUUAGUUCAGACAAUCUUACAGCAAUUGAAGAAGACACUGAUGCAAACAACCUGCAGAUUGCAGUGGCCAGAAUUAAGACGGGAAUAAACUAUGUGAAACAAACCUUACGUGAGUUUGUUCUAAAAGCAUUUUCCAAAAAGCCAAAGAUUUCCAAAGAGAUAAGACAAACAGAAGAUCUAAAUUGUAAAAAGGAAAACUACAUCUCUAACCGCACGCUUGCUGAAAUGAGCAAGGAUCACAAUUUCCACAAAGAAAAAGAUAAAACCAGUGGUUUUGGAAACAACAUGGACAAAUACUUAAUGGAAGAAAGUGAUGGUCAAUCAUUUAUUCAUAAUCCCAGCCUCACAGUGACAGUGCCCAUUGCACCUGGGGAAUCUGAUUUGGAAAUUAUGAACACUGAGGAACUUAGCAGUGAUUCAGAUAGCGAAUACAGCAAAGGGAGGCUGAACCAAUCAAGUUCCUCAGAGUGCAGCACAGUUGAUAACCCUGUGCCUGGAGAAGGAGAAGAGGCAGAGGCUGAGCCUGUAAAUUCAGAUGAGCCAGAGGCCUGUUUCACAGAUGGUUGUGUACAGAGGUUCCCAUGCUGUCAAGUCAACAUAGAAUCGGGGAAAGGAAAAAUCUGGUGGAACAUCAGGAAAACCUGCUUCAGGAUAGUUGAGCAUAGUUGGUUUGAAAGCUUCAUUGUUCUCAUGAUCUUGCUCAGCAGUGGUGCUCUGGCUUUUGAAGAUAUAUACAUUGAAAAGAAAAAGACCAUUAAGAUUAUCCUGGAGUAUGCUGACAAGAUAUUCACUUAUAUCUUCAUUCUGGAAAUGCUUCUAAAAUGGGUAGCAUAUGGUUACAAAACCUAUUUCACCAAUGCCUGGUGUUGGCUGGAUUUCUUAAUUGUCGAUGUUUCUUUGGUUACAUUAGUUGCAAACACUCUUGGCUACUCAGAUCUUGGUCCCAUUAAAUCCCUCCGGACACUUAGAGCUUUAAGACCUCUGCGAGCUUUAUCUAGAUUUGAAGGAAUGAGGGUGGUUGUGAAUGCACUCAUCGGCGCAAUUCCUUCUAUCAUGAAUGUGCUGCUAGUGUGCCUCAUAUUCUGGCUGAUAUUCAGCAUCAUGGGAGUAAAUUUGUUUGCUGGGAAGUUUUAUGAGUGUAUUAACACCACAAAUGGACUACGGUUUCCUACGAAUGAAGUUGAAAACCGUUCUGCCUGUCUUGCGCUUAUGAAUGUUAGUCAAAAUGUGCGAUGGAAAAACCUAAAAGUGAACUUUGAUAAUGUUGGACUUGGUUACCUGUCUCUACUUCAAGUGGCAACGUUUAAGGGAUGGAUGGAUAUUAUGUAUGCAGCAGUUGAUUCUGUUAACGUAGACAAGCAGCCCAUUUAUGAAUACAGCCUCUACAUGUAUAUUUAUUUUGUCAUCUUCAUCAUCUUUGGGUCAUUCUUCACUUUGAACUUGUUCAUUGGUGUCAUCAUAGAUAAUUUCAACCAACAGAAAAAGAAGCUUGGAGGUCAAGAUAUCUUUAUGACAGAAGAACAGAAGAAAUAUUACAAUGCGAUGAAAAAGCUGGGAUCCAAGAAACCACAAAAGCCAAUACCUCGGCCAGGGAACAAAUUCCAAGGAUGUAUCUUUGACCUAGUAACAAACCAAGCUUUUGAUAUAGCCAUCAUGGUUCUGAUCUGCCUCAACAUGGUAACCAUGAUGGUAGAAAAAGAGGGACAAAGUGAAUACAUGACUGAAGUUUUAUAUUGGAUCAAUGUGGUUUUUAUUAUCCUGUUCUCUGGAGAAUGUGUGCUGAAACUGAUCUCUCUCAGAUGCUACUACUUCACUGUAGGCUGGAACAUCUUCGAUUUUGUGGUUGUAAUUCUCUCCAUUGUAGGUAUGUUUCUGGCAGAUUUGAUAGAAAGGUAUUUUGUGUCCCCUACCCUAUUCCGAGUGAUCCGUCUUGCCAGGAUUGGCCGAAUCCUGCGUCUGAUCAAAGGGGCCAAGGGGAUCCGCACACUGCUCUUUGCUUUGAUGAUGUCCCUUCCUGCGCUGUUUAACAUCGGCCUCCUGCUCUUCCUGGUCAUGUUCAUCUAUGCCAUCUUUGGAAUGUCCAACUUCGCCUAUGUUAAAAAGGAAGCUGGAAUUAAUGACAUGUUCAACUUUGAGACCUUUGGCAACAGCAUGAUCUGCCUGUUCCAGAUUACCACCUCUGCUGGCUGGGAUGGAUUGCUAGCGCCUAUCCUCAACAGUGCACCACCGGACUGUGACCCCAAAAAAGUUCACCCUGGAAGCUCAGUUGAAGGAGACUGUGGGAACCCAUCUGUCGGGAUAUUCUAUUUCGUCAGUUACAUCAUCAUAUCAUUUCUGGUCGUAGUGAACAUGUACAUCGCUGUCAUCCUGGAGAACUUCAGUGUUGCUACUGAGGAAAGUACUGAGCCCCUGAGUGAGGACGAUUUUGAGAUGUUCUAUGAGGUUUGGGAGAAGUUUGAUCCAGAUGCGACUCAAUUUAUAGAAUAUAGCAAACUCUCUGACUUUGCAGCUGCACUGGAUCCUCCUCUUCUCAUAGCAAAACCAAACAAAGUCCAGCUCAUUGCCAUGGACCUGCCCAUGGUCAGUGGGGACAGGAUCCACUGCCUUGACAUCUUAUUUGCUUUUACAAAGCGUGUUUUGGGGGAAGGUGGAGAGAUGGACUCUCUUCGUUCACAGAUGGAAGAAAGGUUCAUGUCUGCAAAUCCUUCUAAAGUGUCUUAUGAGCCCAUCACAACUACACUAAAAAGAAAGCAAGAGGAUGUGUCUGCUACAGUUAUUCAGCGUGCUUACAGACGUUACCGCUUACGGCAACAUGUCAAAAAUAUAUCAAGUAUAUACAUCAAAGAUGGUGACAGAGAUGAUGAUUUGCCCAAUAAAGAACAUAUGGUUUUUGAUAAUGUUAAUGAGAACUCAAGUCCAGAAAAAACAGAUGCAACUCCAUCCACUGUCUCUCCACCUUCAUAUGAUAGUGUAACAAAACCAGACAGAGAGAAAUAUGAAAAAGACAAAACAGAAAAGGAAGACAAAGGGAAAGAUGGCAAGGAAGGCAAAAAAUAG